rnacentral:rRNA from 1 species
UUGCGGUUCAAUUGGAUUCAACGCCGGAAAACUCACCGGGGGCGACAGCGAGAUGAAGGUCAGGCUGAAGACCUUACCGGAUUAGCUGAGAGGUGGCGCAUGGCCGUCGGCAGUUCGUGUCGUGAAACAUCCUGUUAAGUCAGGCAACGGGCGAGACCCGCGCUCACAGUUGCCAGCAUGUUCUUCGGAACGAUGGGCACUCUGCGAGGACUGCCACCGCUAAGGUGGAGGAAGAAGCGGGCCACGGUAGGUCAGUACGCCCCGAAUCUUCCGGGCUACACGCGUGCUACAAUGGACAGUACAAUGGGUAUCAACCCCGAAAGGGGAAGGUAAUCUCCUAAAACUGCCCUCAGUUGGGAUCGAGGGCUGCAACUCGCCCUCGUGAACCAGGAAUCCGUAGUAAUCGC